UUUCAUGUUUUCUAAUUCUGUAAGGCCCUCCAGAGGUGUACAUGUAGUUCACGGGGGUUGCCAUGCCAUCCACAGCACGGUCAGACCUUACACAAUUAACAGGUCAGAAGACUCCCAUCCAGAGAGAGUCCUGCCCCAUAUGAGGCAAGCAGGAAUGCUGCAGGGAGACAGGCCCAGAAAAAUCUCUUAUAUACCUUUUUUCUUUUCUGUUUUUUCCCCUUUUUUACAAAAGCUGUGGUUUGGAGCCGAGAAGAAUCUCGACAGACAGGCCCUGCUGGCUUCCCACUCCGUCUAUCAGCCUUAGAUCAGGCUCCUUUGUCCAGUCGUAUUUCUACACAGCCGUCCUUACUUUGUUGACCCUAAGCCUAAAAAUGACAGUUUCUCCUGUAUCUUUGGGUCUUCAUUCUGAAGACUCCUGUGUCUCAUAAAACCACGGUCAAAUAAAUGUGUGUAUUCGUGU